rnacentral:lncRNA from 1 species
CUCUCUCACAAAGCCUUGAAGCCUCUUGGCAGUGGGUUGUGCAAAGGGCAAGUCUAAUUACAAAGGUUAGAGCAACAGCCACCAUGUCCCAGAGACAACCCUGUGAUUUCUCUGGCUCUAAAUGUGGCUUUACAAGUCUAGAUUCAUACUCAUGUCAUCACUGGAAUUCCUUCCAACUUCACAAGACCUGCAGAGACAGAUUCACCGAGGAGACAGUCUCAGACCCAGAGGCUACCGUGGAGGCUCUGAGCUUCUCCUGGGUGGGGCCUGGAAUGCUGGUGCAGGAGACUGGUUGGGUCAGAAUACAGUGACAUCCCAGCAUUUCUUAAGUUGGGGCACCAGCAGCCUCUGUACUGCCCUGGGACACACCAUUCUGCCAGAACGGAGACAAACAGCGGCUCACAAGCAAGCUGCAGACAAAGCCCAGCCCCGGUGCCUGGUCAUCGCCCCUGACAGUCAAGCUGGAAUCUCUCUGUCCCAUCACUCACCGGCUGAAUGUCUACUGUGGCACCUCUGAGAGUCACCCGUCAGUGCCAGACACUGACCCUGCAGAGGGAAUUUGUUGCAUGGGAUUGGAAUCUGGGUUUGGCGCUGCUUGGUCAGUGCUGGGUGUCACUGGGGAUUGAAUCACUGCCCGGCACGCAGCAGGAGGUCAAUCCUCACAGACCCACAGCCUUCUCUUGCCCUGCUUGAUUCAUACC